GACGAACGCUGGCGGCGUGCUUAACACAUGCAAGUCGAACGAAAAGCGAUGGCAGCUUGCUUCUGUCCAUCUUAGUGGCGGACGGGUGAGUCACGCGUAAUCAACCUGCCCUUCAGGGGGGGACAACGGUAGGAAACGACUGCUCAUACCGCAUACGAUCCAAUCUCGGCGUCGGGACGGGAUGAACGGUGGCCUCUAUUUAUAAGCUAUCACUGAAGGAUGGGGUUGCGUCUGAUUAGCUAGAUGGAGGGGUAACGGAGCAGCUAGGAGAGGAUCAGUGGCAGGUCUGAGAGGACGGACGGCCAGACUGGGAGGGAGACCCGGCACAGACGCCUACAGGAGGCAGCAGGGCGGCAUCUUCCGCCAUGGAUGAAAGUCUGACCGCGAAACGCCGCGGGAGUGAUGACGGCCGUCGGGUUGGAAAGCUCUGUUAAUCGGGAGGAAUGGUUCUUGUGCGAAUAGGGCGAGGAUUUGACGGUACCGGAAUAGAAAGCCACGGCUAACUACGUG
rnacentral:rRNA from 1 species